rnacentral:rRNA from 1 species
GACGAACGCUGGCGGCGUGCCUAACACAUGCAAGUCGAGCGAGUGGAGUUCUUCGGAACAAAGCUAGCGGCGGACGGGUGAGUAACACGUGGGCAACCUGCCUCAUAGAGGGGAAUAGCCCCCCGAAAGGGAGAUUAAUACCGCAUAAGAUUGUAGCUUCGCAUGAAGUAGCAAUUAAAGGAGCAAUCCGCUAUGAAAUGGGCCCGCGGCGCAUUAGCUAGUUGGUGAGGUAACGGCUCACCAAGGCGUCGAUGCGUAGCCGACCUGAGAGGGUGAUCGGCCACAUUGGGACUGAGACACGGCCCAGACUCCUACGGGAGGCAGCAGUGGGGAAUAUUGCACAAUGGGGAAACCCUGAUGCAGCAACGCCGCGUGAGUGAUGACGGCCUUCGGGUUGUAAAGCUCUGUCUUCAGGGACGAUAAUGACGGUACCUGAGGAGGAAGCCACGGCUAACUACGUGCCAGCAGCCGCGGUAA